ensembl:lncRNA
GACAAAAAUGCAGAUCAGGCUAUUUAGCUCUGUAUCCACAAGGGCGCGCAACAAACUAAGAAACUAUCAGUUAAUACCUAAAACAGUCUAAAACACUCUCAAACAUAUUUGAUCGUGAUGUUUACAUCAUAAAGUUAUAUAUAAUAUUUCCUCAAGACAUUCUGACUACAAAAACACGAUUAUUUUAUUUGUCAUUUGGUAAUAAUAUAGCCUCACGCAUCCGCGAGCGAGAGACGCGACGCAAACGCGCCACUGGAAAGUUCUCCACGAAUCACAUCACGCGGCGACGAGGGCCUUGGCUUCUGAUUGGUCACGGGCUGGUGACGUAGGAAUCCAGACGCGUCGCGUACAGUAGUCUAGGUUGAUUCGCGUCCAGUGAGACGUGAAGGCAGCCGCGGAAGUAUCGGCUUUCAGUUCAACAUGGCUUCAAGUGCGACGAGCUGAGGAAAACCAGGGCUAUUUUCUAUUUCACCACUCCCGAGGCGACAAACGAGGGAAAAGACUUGGGAAAUAUAUUCAAGAGCCGCUUUUAUUCAAGUCAUGGUGAGAAGACACUGACCAGGUCGCUCAGGUUUACACAGUGUGGGCUUCGGCCAUCAUGAACAAGACUGCAGUCUGAUGCCAUCGCUCUCCAUUCCGCCUGCCAUGGACGGGCACAUCUUUUCACAUUCGGACGGACCUCAACUGGAUGCCGGGGGGUUCAUCCAUGCACCCCCUGUGAGCCAUGUGUUUGCCAACAACCCUUGGAGCUUCCCCCAUCAGACCUACAGCUUGCCCUGUCCUGUGCAAUCUGAAAACCAGCAGCAGCUUCUCCUCGGCCCGUCGGACAUGCACACGGAUUUGUUUCCCAACGGCCUCAGCGACUUUGACUUGCCGAGUCUGAAUCUCACUCAGAAUGAAGACCUUCCUCUGGUAAGACCCUGCUGCUCGGGACACUGGCUUAUUCUGGAGGCUUUGAUCCUCUUUUGGGUUACGUUCACGGCUGAUGAAAUGACGUCUGGAUGGAAUAAAGACUGCGUUUGUCAUCUCACAGAAACUUGCUUACUGAUAUGCGUAUAGUUUUUAGCAAGUUUUAAGUCUGUAAAAAGCAUCAGAUUAGAGUGUCAAGAAACCGUGUUAGUGCUAAAUAACCCUUUUUUAGGUUCUGUGAAGCAGUGGAUGGUUGUGAUCAUGGCCUGUCAGUAGGGCUGCUCGAUUAUGGCAAAAAUCGAAAUCAUGAUUAUUUUGGAUUAGUAUUGAGAGUAUGAUUAUUUCAUAUGAUUAGUUAUUGACUCAAAUGUCAUGCAUUUAUUAGACUUAAACAUAUUUUAAGAGUGGGUUUCCUUGAACGUAAAGGUGCUGUAUGUAAGAUUUUGACUCUACUAAAGCAUGAAGAUACAAUAAUAUGUUUACAGAUAUUUAAGAAUCGUGCUAAGUUUAGAUACUUGUUUAUCUGAAAAACAAUGCUACAGUCCGUUAUUCUCCUUUGAAAAUGUGUUUUCCGGCCCGGAAUCUUGGUCUCUGUUUUGGUUUGUGAAACCCGCCCACUGACAGUUUACCCAAUUGUAUUUCAGCACCCCGGGUUGCCAUUUGGUGGGAAACACAGCGUAUAUAAUUUCAAACAUCGUCAAGUGCGCUCAUUCCUGUUGGUGUCAUCAAUCUGGCAACCUGUGUGUGUGUGUGUCAAGUUUGAGGAGGAGGGGCCGGGUGAAAAAAAACCUUUUUCAAUAUUUUGAAUUUGGACUGCAAUACCUAGUUCAACCACUCGGUGUCAAUCCUAUAUACAGCACCUUUAAAAGAAAAUUAAUGAAACAAAUAAAUGUAAAAAAAAUAAUACGAUCUGUGCCA